rnacentral:tRNA from 1 species
GGCCUCGUAGCUCAGCGGAUAGAGCAGUAGCCUUCUAAGCUAUUGGUCGGAGGUUCGAGUCCUCCCGAGGUCGCCA